rnacentral:rRNA from 1 species
UACGUAGGGUGCAAGCGUUAAUCGGAAUUACUGGGCGUAAAGCGUGCGCAGGCGGUUUUGUAAGUCUGAAGUGAAAUCCCCGGGCUCAACCUGGGAAUUGCGUUGGAGACUGCAAGGCUUGAGUGCGGCAGAGGAGACUGGAAUUCCUGGUGUAGCAGUGAAAUGCGUAGAUAUCAGGAGGAAUACCGAUGGCGAAGGCAGGUCUCUGGGCUGACACUGACGCUCAUGCACGAAAGCGUGGGGAGCAAACAGG